GUGCCCACGAGAGAGGCGACUUUACGUCAGCGGCCUUGGGCUGAGAUUUGAGAACGCGACCAAGUGGAGAAUGUUGGAGCCAGAUUUUAAAAUCCUUGUCUUCCUUCUGCUUGCUACUUGAUCUAAAUGAGAUACGGCAAAGUCACAGAACCUGUUUUUAUGUUUUUGCCUGAUUCAUACGGGCUUCUCCGGUGAAGAUGGGCUGAAGUAACGCUGGGGUUGCUUCUGACGUUGUAACUCAUCCUGUAGCUGCAGCAACCGUGGUCCUUGCAACCUCAUAAAAAUGUUGCCAGCAUUGUUUCGAUAGUGCUGCUUAAUUCUUGGAAGGUUCUUCGGACUUCACACAUUCCAGCAGUAGCUCUCUCAGCUCCUGUCCUGCACAGCUUUGAAGUGCUGGAUGUCCUAGAUAAUCAAGUCAUGUGACUUGGGGGAGCAAGAAAGAGAAACCAGCAGUGGAGACUUAGAAGAAGCAGCUAUUGACAUAGGAUGGGUCCAGGAAUGUACAGUCUUCUAAAAGCCAGGUGAAGACAAUGUUUAAAGGAGGAAGGAGUGAUCAACAAUGUCAGUUCGUGUCAAUUGGUGUUACUUAGUCAUGUGUCUGUGAAGAAUCAUCUUGCAUAGUUAAGUCUCAGGUUCUAGUGUCAGAUUAAAUUUAAAUCCUUGCACCACCCCUUGCUCUUUGAGUGUCUUUGUGCAAAUUGCUUAAAUUCUCUAAGUCUCAAUCUCCCCAUCUGUGAAAUGGGAAUGACAGUAG
rnacentral:lncRNA from 1 species